ACAUUAGCUAGUUGGUAAGGUAACGGCUUACCAAGGCUACGAUGUCUAGGGGUUCUGAGAGGAUGAUCCCCCACACUGGUACUGAGACACGGACCAGACUCCUACGGGAGGCAGCAGUGAGGAAUAUUGGGCAAUGGAGGCAACUCUGACCCAGCCAUGCCGCGUGCAGGAAGAAUGUUUUAUGAAUUGUAAACUGCUUUUGUAUGGGAAGAAAUGUUUCUACGUGUAGAGAUUUGCCGGUACC
rnacentral:rRNA from 1 species